CCUACGGGGGGCAGCAGUGGGGAAUAUUGGACAAUGGGCGAAAGCCUGAUCCAGCCAUGCCGCGUGUGUGAAGAAGGCCUUCGGGUUGUAAAGCACUUUCAGUGGGGAAGAAAGCCUUGGGGCUAAUACCCUCGAGGAAGGACAUCACCCACAGAAGAAGCACCGGCUAACUCCGUGCCAGCAGCCGCGGUAAUACGGAGGGUGCGAGCGUUAAUCGGAAUUACUGGGCGUAAAGCGCGCGUAGGCGGUCUGAUAAGCCGGUUGUGAAAGCCCCGGGCACAACCUGGGAACGGCAUCCGGAACUGUCAGGCUAGAGUGCAGGAGAGGAAGGUAGAAUCCCCGGUGUAGCGGUGAAAUGCGUAGAGAUCGGGAGGAAUACCAGUGGCGAAGGCGGCCUUCUGGACUGACACUGACGCUGAGGUGCGAAAGCGUGGGUAGCAAACAGGAUUACAUACCCCGGUAGUC
rnacentral:rRNA from 1 species